GACCACCGCCGUUGAAGCUGCGGGCGGGCAGCCGUGCGUCUCCCGGGACAGCCAGCCCCAGCGGCUGCUCCUCCCGGAUGCCAGGGCCAGGGCGCCGGGCAGCCGCCAGCAGGAGAAUGAAGAGCUCGGUGGGAGGAAGGAGAGAAAAGCUCUUGGGGGCGCCGAAAGCUCAGCCCAGCCGCGAUUUCACCUGUGUACACGAUGGCGAGAGUGAGGCUGAAUUAAUACCUGAUGACUUUGAAGAAAAACCAGAAAGAGAAAAGAAACAUACCAACUUUACUUUGUGCAACGUAUGUAACAUUCAGCUGAAUUCAGCCGCUCAAGCACAAAUCCACUACAAUGGCAAAUCACAUCAAAAGAGAUUAAAACAACUCACCAAUGGGAUGCUGAAAAAUGACAAUGGUCAUAGAAGAAAAAAUUUUGAGGACAUCUGCAUUAGAAGAUAUGAGAGUAAUUCAGACCAGAGAUGGACCCAAUUCAGAAAGCUGUAAUAAACCAUACAUUCGGAGUUCCUCUUCCCCAUCGAAGAAAGCAAAUCAUAUCAUGCAACAUUUGCCAGUUGAGAUUUAAUUCUGAUAGCCAGGCUGCGGCCCACUACAAAGGCACGAAACAUGCCAAGAAGCUCAAAGCACUGGAAGCCAUGAAAAAUAAGCAGAAAUCUGUAACUGCCAAGGACAGCGCAAAGACUACCUUCACCUCCAUCACUACCAAUACCAUCAAUACCAGCUCUGACAAAACAGAGAUAAAUAUACUAGAUUCAUUUAUUCAUCCAGCCAGCCACAUAAUAAGUACUUUAUUGAGGAGCUUACCAUAUUCCAGAUAGUGCCAUUUUGAGAUUCACCAACAGGGAAAAAGACGGUACUGCAGGGACACCAGCAAUAUCAACGACGACAACUGUGGAAAUCCGCAAAAGCAGUGUUAUGACAACUGAGAUCACCUCUAAAGUGGAAAAAAGCCCAAUGACAGCCACUGGCAAUAGCUCAUGUCCUUCUAUUGAGACCGAGGAAGAAAAGGCAAAACGGCUUCUUUACUGUUCGCUAUGCAAGG
rnacentral:sRNA from 1 species